AGAGGUAUCCAAGAGAUGAAUCUCCUCCAGGCACCGACUUGACUUUUGUAGACGGACGAUCAGUAAUGAAGUUGCCAGAAUUCUGUCCUUGAGCUCGGUGAUAGUUGUUUGAGACCUCCUUUUGCUUCUCAAAAGAAGGAUUUUGUCGAGGCUUCUCCGCCGAGAUAGUAUCAACACCGUAUGGGGGUAGGUUGACAAUCAGGGACGGCGGGGGUGCAUU
rnacentral:misc_RNA from 1 species